GAUUUGGUAGCUUAGUUGGUAAAGGCAGCCCUUCUAGCAUAGCGGCUUAGCUUCUAGCUAAGUUUUCUGGUUCAAAUUCUGCCCAAGUUA